UUUUCCGGUUGAUCCCGCCGGACCCCACUGCUAUCGAGAUGGGACUAAGCCAUGCUAGUUGAACGACCCCGGACUAUGGCGGGGAAGUGGCAUACUGCUCAGUAACACGUAGCUAACCUACCCUCAGGACGGGCAUAACCUCGGGAAACUGAGGCUAAUACCCGAUAGGUGUGGAUUCCUGGAAUGGUUUCACACUUAAAAGUCUACGAAUCCAUGUUGUUUGUAUUCGCCUGAGGACGGGGCUGCGGCCGAUCAGGCUGUUGGCGAGGUAAAGGCUCACCAAACCUUUGACCGGUACGGGCCGUGAGAGCGGUAGCCCGGAGAUGGGCACUGAGAUAAGGGCCCAGGCCCUACGGGGCGCAGCAGGCGCGAAACCUCCACAAUGCACGAAAGUGCGAUGGGGCUACCUCGAGUGCCGCCUGAAGAAGGCGGCUUUUCCACUGUCUAACCAGCUGUGGGAAUAAGAGGGGGGCAAGACUGGUGUCAGCCGCCGCGGUAACACCAGCUCCUCGAGUGGUGGGGAUGAUUAUUUGGCCUAAAGCGUUCGUAGCCGGCUCAGUAAAUCCCUCGUUAAAUCCAACGUCCCAAGCGUUGGGCUGCGAGAGACACUGCUGAGCUAGAGGGUGGGCGAGGUCAGCGGUAUUUCUGGGGUAGGGGCGAAAUCCUUUGAUCCCAGGAGGACCACCAGUGGCGAAGGCUGUUGACCAGAACACGCCUGACGGUGAGGGACGAAAGCUGGGGUAGCGAAUCGGAUUAGAUACCCGAGUAGUCCCAGCCGUAAACGAUGCAUGCUAGGUGUUGGAGCAGCCACGUGCCGCUUCAGUGCCACAGGGAAGCCAUUAAGCAUGCCGCCUGGGGAGUACGGCCGCAAGGCUGAAACUUAAAGGAAUUGGCGGGGGAGCACCACCAGGCGUGAAGCCUGCGGUUUAAUUGGAGUCAACGCCGGAAAUCACUAGU
rnacentral:rRNA from 1 species